GGUGAGGUGGCCGAGUGGUCGAAGGCGCACGCUUGGAAAGCGUGUAGGCGGUGUUCCCGUCUCGUGGGUUCGAAUCCCACUCUCACCGCCA
rnacentral:tRNA from 1 species